rnacentral:lncRNA from 1 species
GGUGGGGUCCCCUCCUCCUCCCCGCCUCCUCCUCCCGGCACGCAGCCCUGUGCCUUUUCUGCAAACCAAGACACAGCACUUUGAAAAUUCUUUCAAUGGAUUUUUUUUUUUCCCUCCUCCUUCUUCCUUGAAAGAUCGUACUGAGGGAAAAUGAUACUUCUAUUAGUUACAUAUUCUCCAAUCGCACACUCGCAUCUUUCCCCCCCACCCCACCACCUCCUCGUUCUGCGAUCGCUCCCCUAGGCAGGCUCAGGCGGGCGCGCAGCGGCGCCGAGGGGCAAAGGGGGGUGCGGAGCUGCGCGCCUGCCUGCCGCCCCUCGACUCUGGAGAGCGUCAAAGUUGUCUCAGCUCCAGCACCCCCGAGCCUCCACACGCCCUCAGGUGAAGGUGGGAGUAAAAAAAAAGGCCACGCUGUUAUUGCCGGAGAGUACAAAGGCAGGCUGUCGAGGGCAGAGGAAGCAGGCAGAGAGGGAGACCGGGAGAAGGAAAAGAGAACUUGGAAAGAGACGGAGCGAGUGCAAGAGGCAGCGCGAAGCGAGCGCCAGGGAACCGGAGGCUCCCCGCGCCUGGACGCCCUGCUCUCGGGCCCGGCCGCCCUCGGACCCAGGACCGGAAGUCUUGGGCGCCAGAAGCCAGAGCCGGCCCAUCUCUGCCGCACCAGGCAAGUUGGCGUGAUGGAUGGCUAUCUUUCAGAAAGGCUAAGGUUUGGAUUGGAGGCACCGACGGGAGGCCCUGGUCAAAUCGCGUGCAGGAGAGCGAGCGGCCAGGGCCCGCUGUGCCGAGGCGAUAAAUCACUGUCAUCAAAAGCAGUCCACUCUUUAGCCAGCACUUUUUUUUUUCAUUUUCGCAAAAGAUUACUUUAGAAAUCUUUUAAUUGGAUUAUGCCGGGAAAUUAAUCUCCUCUAGCCUUGGCUAAAUUUAUUGUGCCCACUGUCGGGAGGAAGGCCCUGUAACUGCAGCGAGGGCCACUUCCCCUUGCUCCCCAUCCCCUUUUCCUCCGCUCUCCAGGGUCUCCCAGCCGCGUGCGGCAGGACAGCCGCGUUCCAAGUCCCCAGGAGUGAGGAAGAGUGGAAAGGCACAUCACGGCGGGCCGUCUCUAGUGCACCUCCUUUGUCCUAAACGCCACGUUUCCGUCCAGGAUUCCCUAGCUCCAGCUCUAGCAUCUCCAUAGCACCGCGCUUUCCUCCACAAGGAGUCCUGGGGGCCCGCCACCAGGGAGAAAGGAGGCUGGAGUGGAGGGAAGAGGAAGUGGGGUGUGCCGGUGGAGGGUUGCCAGCCAAAGUCACUACUUUGCCCUCUUGCCACAACUCCGCUGUCCCGGUUUCGGGUCUCCGGCCCGGAAGCUGGGGCUUCGCUCACACUCUGCACUCUACUUUUCUGCGUAAAGACGCACGGUUAGCUCUUGGCGUUUUUCCUGGCGUAACUCGGGAGACACUUCCCCUUGACGGCUCAGCGGUUGAGGUCCGAGGGCCAGGGCCCUACCCCGUUCCCCGCGGCUCCUGGAGCGCCAGCGCAAUGUCGGGCGGGGACCUCCCUUCCAGCCCCUGGAAACCAGAGUCCGUAGCCUGGUUCAGCGCAGCUCCGGCGGCUGCGGAAGCUGCGGGUCUGGCCCGCCCGCCGCUUAUCUCCGCGGGAGAUGACAACAUCUGCCCGAAACGGGAUACCUACUUUUGCAGCUCAAUUUAGCUCUUAAUAGCAGCCCUCUGAGGUGUGGUUAAUUGACGGGGGAUGAAGGCAUAAUGACUGGACGGGGAGAUGCCAAUGAGCCUUUAAUAUACUUUUAAAAGAAACAACAACCACCCCCCAAACACCGGCGAGUCAUUGCCCGCUGGGAGGAUAAGACCCGGAUCUGGAGGCAGUAAGAGCGACGCCAGUGCUGUUUGUAUCUAGAGGCUCGCGGUGAGGGGUGAGUCCUACCCAGGACCCGCCAGGGCGCGCAGCUUCGGCUGGCAGGGUGUUGUCGCGUGGCCGCGGAGAGCGGAGCGUGGCGAGCACCCGGCAAGCUCGGGAUGACAGGUGACCCGACCUAGUGGCGAGGAGGAGAGGCCUGGGAAAUGGAGGACGCCGCCCCUCCCCGGGCGCGGCCCCUCGAUCAGCCCUUACCCUGCGCGGGGCUGGGUGCUCACAGAAGACUGGCGCUUCCUCUGCCC